rnacentral:lncRNA from 1 species
AAAUCCCUCUCUGCCCCUUGGUACAGGUGGCAGCAUGAGCUCCCAGGACAUCUGCAGCUCCCCAGGUACUCGUGAGUCCUUCCCUCCCAGACCCAGGGCACUUGGAAGCCCAACCACUGUGAGCUGUGCCCUAUGGCAGCCCUUCACUGCUGUGUCUCCUCCAGGGGAUCUCCGAGCUCCUGCUCUCCAAAUGAACUCAACUUCUGCUCUGCCAGGUACAAGAGUUGUGCUCCAGUGUAUUCUCCCUGUGGUGUCACCCGUAAUACGAAUCAUCUUCUGCAAGGAUGGCAAGCAGCUGUACAGCGAGAAAGCCCAUCAAGGGCAGCUGAACUACUCCGUGGUCCUGAACAUCACGUCAAGAAGCGCAGGAAGAUAUACCUGUGGGUACCAGGAGUGGAAUGAGAUGAAACACAUGAGGAGCUCUGCCCUCAGUGCUGGCCGCAACCUGGAUGUCCCUGGCAAUGUGGUGAGUUCCCCAGCAAGUCCACCACCCCCAGAUCCACAUGCAUGGAUCCCGCACGCUCUCCCCACAAGCACGGUGCUGGCAGUGGCGGCCGUCGGCCUAGUCCUCCUGUCUACAGGCAGCUGGUUUGCCAUCAGGAAAGGUGCCUGCAGAGGGAGAUGCCCAAGGCAGCAGCACGUUGACAGCCCACAGACGGAAGACACCAACUAUGGUGACAUCCAGUGUGAGUACUACCUCCUCCCUCAGGGGAAGCCACAUGCUCCUCUUCCCAUGAGAAACUUCU